rnacentral:rRNA from 1 species
AACGAACGCUGGCGGCAGGCUUAACACAUGCAAGUCGAGCGCCCCGCAAGGGGAGCGGCAGACGGGUGAGUAACGCGUGGGAAUCUACCCAUCUCUACGGAAUAACGCAUGGAAACGUGUGCUAAUACCGUAUACGUCCUUCGGGAGAAAGAUUUAUCGGAGAUGGAUGAGCCCGCGUUGGAUUCGCUAGUUGGUGGGGUAAAGGCCUACCAAGGCGACGAUCCAUAGCUGGUCUGAGAGGAUGAUCAGCCACACUGGGACUGAGACACGGCCCACACUCCUACGGGAGUCAGCAGUGGUGAAUAUUGGACAAUGGGCGCAAGCCUGAUCCAGCCAUGCCGCGUGAGUGAUGAAGGCCCUAGGGUUGUAAAGCUCUUUCACCGGUGAAGAUAAUGACGGUAACCGGAGAAGAAGCCCCGGCUAACUUCGUGCCAGCCGCCGCAGUAACAC